rnacentral:rRNA from 1 species
GACGAACCGUGCGAACGUUGUUCGGAAUCACUGGGCUUAAAGGGCGCGUAGGCGGGCUGCCGAGUCGGGGGUGAAAUCUUUCGGCCCAACCGGAAAAGGGCCUCCGAUACUGGCAGCCUCGAGGGGGGUAGGGGUCGGCGGAACUUCCGGUGGAGCGGUGAAAUGCGUAGAUAUCGGAAGGAACGCCGGUGGCGAAAGCGGCCGACUGGACCCCGCCUGACGCUGAGGCGCGAAAGCCAGGGGAGCGAACGGGAUUAGAAACCCCCGUAGUCC